ensembl:lncRNA
ACAAGAUAUAGUUAUAUCUAUAUCUAUAACAGUAUAUAUAAAUUCGCUAUAAUAUAAUAUAGAGAACGAGCGAGAGAAAGAGAGAUAGCUGUCUGGUCGUAACUGGAGCGGUAACGGAACUGCACUAUUGUUCUCGUUAAAUUCCUUUCCCCCGCGCUCUCGCGCAUGCCAGUCUCCCGUUCUUUAGGAGGAGAGAGACGGAGGCUCGCGGGGCUGGGCUCUACGCAUUGGCUGAAAGGAGACCUCUGGUGUUUUUUUAGCUUAUAUUUUUAGCAGCGGAGGUCGGAUUCGUAUUGCAUCGCGCGUGGCUCAUCUGCAGUGCUGCUGCGCGCUGGAGAACCGCAGUGUGUUGCGCUCUGAACGCUCGAGCUCCGCAUACUGAACGCGCCCGCUGCAACGGCGAAUGAGCUCAAGAAAACACGCAGUUCGGUCUGUUUGCGGAGCGCUGGAUAUCUCAUAUAGGCUUUCUUCUUAUUUUUUUGGAAAUGGCCAGUCCCGGAGACGAUUCGGCUUCAAAUGCCCAGCUGGAUCAAGCUGAAUCUGCUGACGCUUCGCCAGAACCAGCGUUUCAAGAAGCUCAGAAAUGGAUCGAGGCAGUGACAGGAAGAAGUUUCGGUGAUAAGGAUUUCAGAAGCGGCCUGGAGAAUGGCAUUCUGCUCUGCGAGUUGCUGAGUUCAAUCAAACCAGGCCUUGUGAAAAAGAUCAACAGACUUCCAGCACCCAUUGCAGGACUGGAUAAUCUGACCAUGUUUCUGAGAGGAUGCGAAGAGCUGGGAUUGAAGGGAUCACAGCUGUUCGAUCCUGGAGACCUGCAGGAUACGUCGAUACGAGCAAACUUAACGGGCUCUGACUGCAGUAGAAAGCUGAAGAAUGUGCUCAUAACCAUAUACUGGCUUGGUAAAGCUGCUAACAGCUGUACAACAUAUAACGGCCCCACACUCGACCUGAAAGAGUUUGAGGGGCUUCUUUCCAUGAUGCGAAAGGAGUGUGUAAAUGAAGAGUUAGACUCCCCUAAGCGCAGUAUAAGGGACAGCGGUUACAUUGACAGCUGGGAAUCGGAGCGUUCUGAUUCGCUGUCUCCUCCGAGGCACGGCCGCGAAGAUUCGUUUGACAGUCUCGACUCGUUUGGCUCACGAUCACAGAACACACCCUCACCAGACACCGUUAUUCGCUGCAACAGUGAUGACUCUGAAGGUGACGCUGGUCAAAGGAAGUUGCCAGACGUGCGCAAGGAUGACAUGUCUGCCCGUCGCGUGUCCUACAAAGAGCCUCGCGCAGCUCUGCCCUUUAAUCAGUAUCUGCCGAACAAAAGCAACCAAACCAACUACAUUCCUGCCCCCCUGAGGAAGAGGAGGAGCGAGAGAGAGGAAGACUGGAGGAGUCUAAGCAACUCAACGUCUCCUGUAGGAGGAGAAAGACCUCUCAGACAAGAGCGUGUAGAAGUAUUAAAAGAGGGGGCUGUCGCAUCUCGCAGCCUUGCGCUUCAGAAAAAUUUCACCUGGGCGGAUGAGAAAGGGGUAGAGCUUGAGGAGGCAGAGCUUAAGAAAAUGAGGAAGCUGGAAAAGGCGGGAAUUAAAGUAUUACCUGCCUCUGUGCGAUAUAACAGUCCAAUUGUGAAUCCUGUGGAGGCCAGUAAACCCAAACCACCUUCACCAGGCAUCAUUCUCCGACGUGACAAUGAGUUCAUGCGGGCCACCGCUCCACAUCAGUGGGACUCAAAUGAGGAAGAUGAUGAUGAAGAAGCAGAACGGAAGGUUCCAGAUGUCCAAAAGGAUGAUCUUGCUUCUCGCAGAGCACGAAUGAAUCAAUUCAAACCCAGUGUGGCGCAUCACUUCCUGCCAGGCUCUUGUGGCUGGAAGGACCGAGAAAAAUGGGAGGGAAUCAGGCUGGCAUCCCAGCAUGCCGUGUUGGAGAGGAUGGAGAAAAUGGCACAGGAGAAAAGAAGUCAGGCUGACUCCGCCUCCCCUGAGGUGCCAAUCAUAACUCGUAAGGACAACCCUUUCCUGAAUCCUGAAAAAGACAGGGGAAAAGAGAGGGAUGAGGAAGAUGAGAAAGAGGUAGAGGGGAAGAUAGUUGUCCCAAACCCACACAAAGAUGAUCUUGCAAGGAGGCGGACUGGGGGAGGGCCACGCCCUCCCAAAGAUGCUCAUCAGUCAUUGGUCCAGACUUCCAUCACUCAGUCAGACCUGGAGACAUGGCAGAGACUCAAGAUUAAUACAGAUAGCAGUGAGUCUGACUCCACCGAUGCUGAAGUGUCAAUCAUAACUCGCAAGGACAACCCCUUCCUGACCUCUGAGAAAGACAGUGAGUGUAAGCAGGAGAAUGAGGAGGGUACAGACAGAGAGAAAGGGGCGAGGGUGGUGAUGCCUGAUGUAAAGACAGAUGACCUGGCCAGAAGGCGGGGCCAAAAUGGGCCUGUCCCACAGAGGGACCCCCGUCAGUCAUUGGCUCAAACUACCAUCACUCAGUCGGACCUGGAGAAAUGGCAGAGGCUCAAGAUGAAUACAGAGAGCAGCGAUGACCCUAUUGUCCCUCUGUGUCAGACGUGUCUUGAGAAAGGCUGCCACUCUGUUGCCUCCAAGACGAAGGUUGCCAAGAACGACCUGGCCAGUUGCCGAGAACGUUCCUCCGGUGAACGGAGGCGUUUUGUGACUUUUGGGGGUGUGACAGAGAUGAAGAGUACUUCCUGGAAGGAGGAGGAGGAGGAUAAGGAAGGGGGAGAGGGACAGGGGGACGAGGCAGAGAAGCUUCGAUAUCUCCUCUCGAUGGCACAUGUUGCUGUGCCCACCAUAGGGCUGGGCUCCAUACUGACAAAAAAAGCGGUUGGCAGUGGAGAUGCAAUCCCUGAGCCUGCUCCUAUCAUGCCCCCUGAACCUCCGAAUCCUUUCAUGUUUGACCUUAAACGGCCUUUGACCUCCACCGAGCACAGGUUGCUGGAGGAGGAAUUGGUGGAGAAAGUGAAGGAUAAGAGGGAGGAUGAUGAAGAGGAUGAAGAACAAGAGAGGCAACUGGAUAUACAAAAGGAUGACAUGCUAGCUCGUAGAACAGGAGCAUUUCAGAAGCCAGCAAAUGGGACUUCACAUAACAGAUUCCUCCCGCAGCCGGGUUCCAAGAGAGACGGUGCUACAGUGACUUCCUUAGCCCAGAAAGGAAGUAUUCAGAUGGGCACGAGUGGAGACAGAGACCUCCAAUACCUGGAAAGAAACAUAAAGACAAAGAGAACCAAGAUUGGACAGAGAAAUGAACCAGUCGACCAAGUACAAAAGACACCCGUUCCAGUUGCUGUAGUAACAGAAAAAUGCCCUGAAAUUUUACAUUUGUCUUCAACUAACGCCAAUCGCUCUGGGAUUUACACUGAUGAUGAUGAAUGGGGGGAUGACGAUCAAUUGCAAGAUUUUGAGAAAGAUGACAUGCUUGCACAAAGGACUGGAUCUUACCAAAAGCCAAGUGCAGGACAGGAUUUUAAUGUUUUUUUGCACAAACCUGGUGCUGUCAAACAUAAAAUCACUCCUGUCAGUAGAUCUCAGUCACACCUCAAGCCUAGAGAGCAAGAGACAGCCCCAUCUCUGGACAGGUUAGGAUCCUCUGGGAAUGAAGCGCUUGCUUAUGAAUGCUCUGAAUGCUGCUUUCGUGGUGUCUGUGCAAAGGAGAAUUAUUAAACAUGGGCCUUUUUAGAUAUGGUUUUGAGCUUGGUGUGUGCAGCUUGAUUUUUAGAGUACAGAGAAGAGAUGAAUGUCUUGUGCAUCAAUGAUUUUUGGUGGUUAUUGCCUGUUUACUAAUAUGUGUGACUGGCUUGGUGUUUCUUCACAAACUGAAUUAUUCUCCUUGUUUCUAGUCCUUGAUUUAUAGCUCUCUCUGUCUCUUUCUCUCUCUAUUGUAAUGCAUUUUUGACACCCCUAAUAGAUCUUUCAGCCUUUUAAUUUUUGUUCACUCUGUUCUUUGCACUUGUUUUCUCUGGUGAUUUGUGUUUUGUGGUCAGAGAACAGAGCCUCAGCCUCCCUUUCACAGCCCUGCUUUGCUUUAGUAACCAUGGCAAAUUUCUCAGCUUCACCCUUAGCUCUGUGGCCCCGGCCCCAAGAGAUGUUGAGGACACGCCUAGGAAGUGCCCUCAGAUGAUGGACAGGCAGGAGGCAGGCUCUGUGGGUGUGGUGGGACAUGAAAGUCUUAUUAAAGAUGAGCCUAUUACCAAAAGCCCCUCCCCCAAACCUCACCAACCCUCACGUCGCCCCCUUUGGCAGGAAGAUGAUGAUCUCCCCCCAAUGUGAGAAAGCACUUUCAGGACCAACUGACUGAAAUGUAUUUUUGUAUUUCUGCAUUGAAAGAGACUGUGUCUCAUGCCUGUAUCUAUGUAUUUUAUCAUUGUUUUACUUUACUUCACUGAUUCGUGCAAUGGUUAUCCUUAGAGGUGCUGUAAGGGGCUUUUUUAUUGAAAAGUAGUCAUUUCAUUUUAAGAGUUGACUGAAUAUUACUUACAGCACCAAGUCUAUAUAAAAUGCUGUUGACAACCCAUUUUACAGACAUGCUUUCUGACAUGAAGACACACACACACACACACACAUAAAAUGUGUGAACAUUAUAAAAAAUGAUGUCUAUCAAUUAAGCUAAAAAAAGUUACAUAGCUAGAAACUAUAUCAACUUCUAUCUAGUAUAGUGAGGCAA